UUAACUCACACCAACCAACGCCAGGGAAUUACGAGCUAUGCUUAAAACCCAAAGGACUUGACGGUGUCCCACCCACCUAGAGGAGCCUGUUCUAUAAUCGAUGAUCCCCGAUACACCUAACCAUUCCUCGCCCAUCAGUCUGUAUACCUCCGUCGAAAGCCUACCAUGUGAACGCUUACAGUAGGCCCAAUGAUCCUCAUCAACACGUCAGGUCAAGGUGCAGCUUACGGAAUGGAAAGCAAUGGGCUACAAUUUCUAGUUUAGAACAAACGAAAGACUCUGUGAAACCUUAGUCAUGAAGGCGGAUUUAGUAGUAAAAGGAAAAUAGAGUGUUCCUUUUAACCUGGCUCUGGGACGCGUACACACCGCCCGUCACCCUCUUSGAUAGCACUUCACCCAGGUAUUUAACCCAAUACCGCAUCUUAGAAGAGGCAAGUCGUAACACGGUAAGUGUACUGGAAAGUGCACUUGGUCUACAACAAGAUGUAGCUUAAUUAAAGCCCUCCGCUUACACCGGAGAAAUGUCUGUUCAACUCGGACUAUCUUGAGCCUAAAAUCUAGCCCUACUCCACCCGCAUGAACACCUUAACCCUAUGCCCUCCAAACAAAACAUUUUAACAUUUUAGUACAGGCGAUCAAAAAAUUUCUAGGCGCUUCAGAUACAGUACCGCAAGGGAAUGAUGAAAUAAUAAUGAAAUAACUUUAAAGCCCAAAACAGCAGAG
rnacentral:rRNA from 1 species